rnacentral:rRNA from 1 species
GGGCUUGCUCCUGGAUUCAGCGGCGGACGGGUGAGUAAUGCCUAGGAAUCUGCCUGGUAGUGGGGGAUAACGUCCGGAAACGGGCGCUAAUACCGCAUACGUCCUGAGGGAGAAAGUGGGGGAUCUUCGGACCUCACGCUAUCAGAUGAGCCUAGGUCGGAUUAGCUAGUUGGUGGGGUAAAGGCCUACCAAGGCGACGAUCCGUAACUGGUCUGAGA